UUCGGGUCGUAAAGUUCUGUUGUAAGGGAAGAACAAGUGCCGCAGGCAAUGGCGGCACCUUGACGGUACCUUGCGAGAAAGCCACGGCUAACUACGUGCCAGCAGCCGCGGUAAUACGUAGGUGGCAAGCGUUGUCCGGAAUUAUUGGGCGUAAAGCGCGCGCAGGCGGCCUCUUAAGUCUGAUGUGAAAGCCCCCCGGCUCAACCGGGGAGGGCCAUUGGAAACUGGGAGGCUUGAGUAUAGGAGAGAAGAGUGGAAUUCCACGUGUAGCGGUGAAAUGCGUAGAGAUGUGGAGGAACACCAGUGGCGAAGGCGACUCUUUGGCCUAUAACUGACGCUGAGGCGCGAAAGCGUGGGGAGCAAACAGGAUUAGAUACCCUGGUAG
rnacentral:rRNA from 1 species